CAGGAAUCAUCAAAUAUAGAUGAAAAACAUGACUUAACAUAGAUCACAUGUCCCAGACUCUGUGACUGUCUCCCCAGGUGCUGCAGUGUUCCAGGUUUUGUGAGACUGCCUGCUUGCUUUACUGUGAGAAAUGAUCUUUACAGGCUCGACAUACAGAAUGUUUGGCAUUGCAUAUAAAAUAAGUCCAUGUUUCACUGCAGAAACACUUCCACGUGGAUCUGAAGGCCAAAGCCCUUCAAGGUCAUUUAAAAGACUUGAAGCUGCAGCAUGACAGCAGAGGAGAGCUCCACUUUGUAGAGCAGGAAUAUAUUAUCUCUUCUGCUGCCACAGUUUAAGAGCAAAUAACAAAUUCCAACCCCCCCAACCCGAGCUGCCGCUAUCAUCAAGGGAAAUCAAGAGCCGGGCGCAGGAUCUUUCCUCAACUGAUCCGACUGUGACAUAGCUGAGUCACGUCUCACUGUUGUGGAAUAAAAGGUGGAAGAUGGAGGAAGUCAUCCAUCGAAAGGCCUGCAGUGGGGCUCUUUCUGUGACUCUGCAGGUUAUACUGCUGCGAUCCAUCCUGCAUCUAACAG